GACAGAGGGGGCAAGCGUUGUCCGGAGUUACUGGGCGUAAAGGGCGCGGAGGCGGUCUGCGGCGUCGGCGCUGAAAGCGCCCCGCUUAACGGGGCGAGGCGUGCAGAUACGCGCAGACUUGAGGCGAGCAGAGGGUGGUGGAAUUCCGGGUGGAGCGGUGAAAUGCGUAGAGAUCCGGAGGAACGCCAGUGGGGAAGCCGGCCACCUGGGCUCGUCCUGACGCUGAGGCGCGACAGCGUGGGGAGCAAACCGG
rnacentral:rRNA from 1 species